rnacentral:rRNA from 1 species
CUAAUACAUGCAAGUCGAGCGAACGGACGAGAAGCUUGCUUCUCUGAUGUUAGCGGCGGACGGGUGAGUAACACGUGGAUAACCUACCUAUAAGACUGGGAUAACUUCGGGAAACCGGAGCUAAUACCGGAUAAUAUUUUGAACCGCAUGGUUCAAAAGUGAAAGACGGUCUUGCUGUCACUUAUAGAUGGAUCCGCGCUGCAUUAGCUAGUUGGUAAGGUAACGGCUUACCAAGGCAACGAUGCAUAGCCGACCUGAGAGGGUGAUCGGCCACACUGGAACUGAGACACGGUCCAGACUCCUACGGGAGGCAGCAGUAGGGAAUCUUCCGCAAUGGGCGAAAGCCUGACGGAGCAACGCCGCGUGAGUGAUGAAGGUCUUCGGAUCGUAAAACUCUGUUAUUAGGGAAGAACAUAUGUGUAAGUAACUGUGCACAUCUUGACGGUACCUAAUCAGAAAGCCACGGCUAACUACGUGCCAGCAGCCGCGGUAAUACGUAGGUGGCAAGCGUUAUCCGGAAUUAUUGGGCGUAAAGCGCGCGUAGGCGGUUUUUUAAGUCUGAUGUGAAAGCCCACGGCUCAACCGUGGAGGGUCAUUGGAAACUGGAAAACUUGAGUGCAGAAGAGGAAAGUGGAAUUCCAUGUGUAGCGGUGAAAUGCGCAGAGAUAUGGAGGAACACCAGUGGCGAAGGCGACUUUCUGGUCUGUAACUGACGCUGAUGUGCGAAAGCGUGGGGAUCAAACAGGAUUAGAUACCCUGGUAGUCCACGCCGUAAACGAUGAGUGCUAAGUGUUAGGGGGUUUCCGCCCCUUAGUGCUGCAGCUAACGCAUUAAGCACUCCGCCUGGGGAGUACGACCGCAAGGUUGAAACUCAAAGGAAUUGACGGGGACCCGCACAAGCGGUGGAGCAUGUGGUUUAAUUCGAAGCAACGCGAAGAACCUUACCAAAUCUUGACAUCCUUUGACAACUCUAGAGAUAGAGCCUUCCCCUUCGGGGGACAAAGUGACAGGUGGUGCAUGGUUGUCGUCAGCUCGUGUCGUGAGAUGUUGGGUUAAGUCCCGCAACGAGCGCAACCCUUAAGCUUAGUUGCCAUCAUUAAGUUGGGCACUCUAAGUUGACUGCCGGUGACAAACCGGAGGAAGGUGGGGAUGACGUCAAAUCAUCAUGCCCCUUAUGAUUUGGGCUACACACGUGCUACAAUGGACAAUACAAAGGGCAGCGAAACCGCGAGGUCAAGCAAAUCCCAUAAAGUUGUUCUCAGUUCGGAUUGUAG